rnacentral:rRNA from 1 species
UGAGUAACCUGCCCUUAACUCUGGGAUAAGCCUGGGAAACUGGGUCUAAUACCGGAUAUGACUCCUCAUCGCAUGGGUGGGGGGUGGAAAGCUUUUUUGUGGUUUUGGAUGGACUCGCGGCCUAUCAGCUUGUUGGUGAGGUAAUGGCUCACCAAGGCGACGACGGGUAGCCGGCCUGAGAGGGUGACCGGCCACACUGGGACUGAGACACGGCCCAGACUCCGUACGGGGAGGCAG